rnacentral:rRNA from 1 species
CAGCCGCCGCGGGAAUACGUAGGGUGCAAGCGUUAAUCGGAAUUACUGGGCGUAAAGCGUGCGCAGGCGGUUUUGUAAGACAGAGGUGAAAUCCCCGGGCUCAACCUGGGAACUGCCUUUGUGACUGCAAGGCUAGAGUACGGCAGAGGGGGAUGGAAUUCCGCGUGUAGCAGUGAAAUGCGUAGAUAUGCGGAGGAACACCGAUGGCGAAGGCAAUCCCCUGGGCCUGUACUGACGCUCAUGCACGAAAGCGUGGGGAGCAAACAGGAUUAGAUACCCCAGUAGUCCCUGUCUCUUAUAC